AUACGGAGGGUGCAAGCGUUACUCGGAAUCACUGGGCGUAAAGCGCGCGCAGGCGGCUAUUUAAGUUGGAUGUGAAAGCCUAUGGCUCAACCAUAGAACUGCAUCCAAAACUAUUUAGCUAGAGUGUGGGAGAGGAAGAUGGAAUUAGUUGUGUAGGGGUAAAAUCCGUAGAGAUAACUAGGAAUACCAAAAGCGAAGGCAAUCUUCUGGAACAGUACUGACGCUGAGGCGCGAAAGCGUGGGGAGCAAACAGGAUUAGAUACCCUAGUAGUCC
rnacentral:rRNA from 1 species